CUUGUAGGCGGAUCAGUAAGUCUGGUGUUAAAUCCCCGGCUCAACCGGGGAACUGCGCUGGAUACUGCUGGUCUUGAGUGUGGGAGGGGAGAGUGGAACUCCUGGUGGAGCGGUGAAAUGCGUAGAGAUCAGGAGGAACGCCGGUGGCGAAAGCGGCUCUCUAGCCCACUACUGACGCUGAGGCGCGAAAGCCAGGGGAGCAAACG
rnacentral:rRNA from 1 species